rnacentral:tRNA from 1 species
UGCCAGCUUUGGGAGUUGGAGAUAGAGGUUUAAGUCCUUUUUUUC